rnacentral:rRNA from 1 species
AGACCCGAAACCCGGUGAUCUAGCCAUGGGCAGGUUGAAGGUUGGGUAACACUAACUGGAGGACCGAACCGACUAAUGUUGAAAAAUUAGCGGAUGACCUGUGGCUGGGGGUGAAAGGCCAAUCAAACCGGGAGAUAGCUGGUUCUCCCCGAAAGCUAUUUAGGUAGCGCCUCGUGAAUUCAUCUCCGGGGGUAGAGCACUGUUUCGGCUAGGGGGCCAUCCCGGCUUACCAACCCGAUGCAAACUGCGAAUACCGGAGAAUGUUAUCACGGGAGACACACGGCGGGUGCUAACGUCCGUCGUGAAGAGGGAAACAACCCAGACCGCCAGCUAAGGUCCCAAAGUCAUGGUUAAGUGGGAAACGAUGUGGGAAGGCCCAGACAGCCAGGAUGUUGGCUUAGAAGCAGCCAUCAUUUAAAGAAAGCGUAAUAGCUCACUGGUCGAGUCGGCCUGCGCGGAAGAUGUAACGGGGCUAAACCAUGCACCGAAGCUGCGGCAGCGAACGUAUCACCCAAGACAACUUUACGGAGUUGACGAUUGACGGAGCGAAGCGACGUCAAAGCGUUCAUUAAAGUCGAGUUGGCUUAGGGAUACGUUCGUUGGGUAGGGGAGCGUUCUGUAAGCCUGUGAAGGUGUGUCGUGAGGCAUGCUGGAGGUAUC